rnacentral:rRNA from 1 species
GAUGAACGCUGGCGGCGUGCCUAAUACAUGCAAGUCGAACGGAGACGAUGUAGCAAUACGUUGUCUGAGUGGCGAACGGGUGAGUAACGCGUGGGCGACCUGCCCCGAAGCGUGGGAUAACAGUUCGAAAGGGCUGCUAAUACCGCAUGAGGUCUACCGGGUUAGAGGCUGGUAGACGAAAGGAGAAAUCCGCUUUGGGAGGGGCCUGCGUCCCAUCAGCUAGUUGGUAAGGUAACGGCUUACCAAGGCGACGACGGGUAGGGGACCUGAGAGGGUGGCCCCCCACACUGGCACUGAAACACGGGCCAGACACCUACGGGUGGCAGCAGUAGGGAAUAUUGCACAAUGGGCGCAAGCCUGAUGCAGCAACGCCGCGUGCGCGAAGAAGGCCUUCGGGUCGUAAAGCGCUUUUCUGGAGGAAGAGGAAGGACGGUACUCCAGGAAGAAGGAUCGGCUAACUACGUGCCAGCCGCCGCCGUAAAAC